rnacentral:rRNA from 1 species
UCAUGCAUUAGUAAAUAGCCGCAGUAUUCUGACUGGUGCUAAGGUAGCAUAAUCAUUAGUCUCUUAAUUAGAGGCUGGUAUGAAUGGUGAGACGAGAAAAAAGCUGUCUCUAAAAUAUUUGUUGAAUUUCAUUUUUAAGUGAAAAAGCUUAAAUGCGUUUGGGGGACGAUCAGACCCUUUGGAGCUUUAUUUCAUUAAAGUUUUAGGUUACUUUUUAUAACAAAAAUUAUGAUGAAAUUUUGUUGGGGCGACAGAAAGUUAAAAAGUACCACUUUCUUUAAAAAACAUGUAUAGAUGGAAAAUUGAUCCCUAAGGAGGGAUUAGAAGACUAAGUUACCCUAGGGAUAACAGCGUAAUCUUUUUGGAGAGUUCUUAUCGAUAAAAAGGUUUGCGACCUCGAUGUUGGAUUAAGAAAUUAGCAAGGUGCAGAAGUUUUGUUGGAAAGUCUGUUCGACUUUUGAUUUCUUACGUGAUC